UACGUAGGGUGCAAGCGUUGUCCGGAAUUAUUGGGCGUAAAGAGCUCGUAGGCGGUUCGUCGCGUCGGCUGUGAAAACCCGGAGCUCAACUCCGGGCCUGCAGUCGAUACGGGCGGACUAGAGUUCGGCAGGGGAGACUGGAAUUCCUGGUGUAGCGGUGAAAUGCGCAGAUAUCAGGAGGAACACCGGUGGCGAAGGCGGUUCUCUGGGCAGUAACUGACGCUGAGGAGCGAAAGCGUGGGGAGCGAACAGG
rnacentral:rRNA from 1 species